GAAUGUGAGGACAUUCUGGCUGUGACAUCUGCCACUCCAGGGAUCACCAGGGUUGAUAGAGCUGAUCUGGCUGGCUAGGUGGUGUUCCCUUCUCCCUUACUACUCCAUGUACCUCCCUCCUGAGGUUGGAGGAGAACAGGCAUCCCAAAUAGGAGUAUCCCUUUCUUUGAUCAAGGGUAUACAAUAGCUCUGCCAGAACUUCUAAACAAGUGCCAGAGCUGUUUGANAGUUUUGCUGUGAUAUCCUAAACCUGUUGGCAUUUUUAAUAUAUCUGGAAACUCCUUU
rnacentral:snRNA from 1 species